UACGUAGGGGGCGAGCGUUAUCCGGAUUCAUUGGGCGUAAAGCGCGCGUAGGCGGCCCGGCAGGCCGGGGGUCGAAGCGGGGGGAUCAACCCCCCGAAGCCCCCGGAACCUCCGCGGCUUGGGUCCGGUAGGGGAGGGUGGAACACCCGGUGUAGCGGUGGAAUGCGCAGAUAUCGGGUGGAACACCGGUGGCGAAGGCGGCCCUCUGGGCCGAGACCGACGCUGAGGCGCGAAAGCUGGGGGAGCGAACAGG
rnacentral:rRNA from 1 species